GUUUUUAAAAAACAUCGCUCCCUGUCCUAAAAAAAUAGGGAGUCGGACCUGCCCAGUGAAUUUUUAACGGCCGCGGUACUCUGACCGUGCAAAGGUAGCAUAAUAAUUUGCCUUAUAAUUGAAGGCUGGUAUGAAUGGUUUGACGAGAAUAAAGCUGUCUCUUUGCAACUAAGUAGAAAUUUAUUUAUGGAUGAAAAAGUCCAUAUAUUAUUAAAAGACAAGAAGACCCUAUCGAGCUUUAAAAAAUUCAAUAGAAAUAAAUAACAUAAACUAAUAUUCACUUAAAAAGUUGGUCUAAUGAAAAUUUUAGUUGGGGCGACCGAGGAACAAAAAAAGCUUCCUUAAAUUUAUAUAUUCUUACCUAUUAGUAUAGAUCCAGAAUAUUUCUGAUCAAUAGAAUUAGUUACCGUAGGGAUAACAGCAUUAUCUUUUUUGAGAGCUCUUAUCGAAAAAAAGGUUUGUGACCUCGAUGUUGGACCAGAAUGUCCUAAAGAUGCAGCAGUCUUNAAGGGUUGGUCUGUUCGACCAUUAAUAUUCUACGUGAUCUGAUUUCC
rnacentral:rRNA from 1 species